GCCGGCGUAGCUCAGUGGUAGAGCGACCGCCUUGUAAGCGGUAGGUCGUGGGUUCGAAUCCCACCGCCGGCUC
rnacentral:tRNA from 1 species